UCAUUUAAAUGUCAUUGGGUCUGCUGGAGAAUUGUUCUGAGAAAACAGGAUGUGCUGACCUCUGCAAUUUCCCCAAAUGUGGGAAACUCCACUGCAUAAUUUGUGGUAGUGGGGGACUGCGUUUGCGCUUACCCCUG
rnacentral:snRNA from 1 species